AAGCGUAUGGCAAUGAAACAGUACAUUACUGAAAAGAUACUUUUCAUCAGUAGUAAUUUGUAAUUUUAGCACUAACGUAUUAAUCUUGGGUUUAAACUCUGAAAUCAACUUUAUUCUUGUUUCCCAGACCACUUUUUGGGAAAAGGCGGGAACAGGCAAAUAGCGGUUUGUAAUUGGACCAGGGUUAGCUGGGCAAACGCCCCCGGCGUUUAGCGUAAGUAUCGCUUUCCUGUUCUGCUCCUAACGGGAAAUCUGUGACAGUUUCGGUCAAGGGCAAGAUCGGACCAAUUAGGAAAAAAAUCCCGCACUGAAAAAAGUCAUGUGUGUAGAUUUGUAUUAAUUUCGCUAAAUGAAAAAGUACAAUCUGCACUACUACACAAAAUUAUGUAUCAGUACUUAUAUUCAUAUAAAAGUAGACGACAGGGCAAAAUAUGACAUGCAUCAUUUGAAAGUUUAAUGAACAUGCGAAAUGUUCACAAUUUAAUGUUGCUGCUAUUUUUCAUACAGAUCCAUUUAGAAAGUUUAUAUAUAUGAUUAUUCAUGAAACAGCCACGGCAGUAACCGGAUUUGGAUAAACGUCAAGAUGGCUGUCCUUUUUAUCUACGGGGGAUCAGCGGCUUUUGAGAGGUGCUGCAAGCAACUGUCGGGAAAUCCAAGACCAGCCGUGGAGGGCAGCUUCUUUGCCGACCCCUGGGAGGUCUGAUUCAGUACAAACGUGAAGAGUUGGGUUUCACAGCAUAAGCAAAAUGAGGUCAUGUCAUCCAGUCUGCUAUCAUGGAAAAUCUUAAUCUUAAAACACAAGUAACUCGUAAUAUGGUUUACCACCUGCUGCGUGUUUUAUACCUCCAGCCACACACAUUGUUGUAUACAAUAUUCAUUUUCUGUUUCAGCUGUUUUUAUAACGAAUCUUUUUAUGAUUGAUUGAAUCGGCAAUGCUUAGCUUGCAGAGCUGAGAAGUCAGCUUCUUAGAAGAUGGUUAGUUUUAAGUAAUGGAAUUCAACUAUAAUAAAUUUUCUGGAUGACA